rnacentral:rRNA from 1 species
AACGACUCUCGGCAACGGAUAUCUCGGCUCUCGCAUCGAUGAAGAACGUAGCGAAAUGCGAUACUUGGUGUGAAUUGCAGAAUCCCGCGAACCAUCGAGUCUUUGAACGCAAGUUGCGCCCGAAGCCUUCUGGCCGAGGGCACGCCUGCCUGGGUGUCACAC